rnacentral:tRNA from 1 species
GGCGCGGUACCCAAGUGGCAAGGGAGCAGUCUGCAAAACUGCUAUGCGACGGUUCGAUCCCGUCUCGCGCCUCCA